UAGGCCAUCGAUAAAAAAUAAUUAUUUAUUUCACUUCUAUCAAUUUUCGUACAGUCAGCUUGCCUAGACUUCAAAGCUAAGAUAAAGCUUGUAAAUCGGGAGCUUAAGUAAAGAAGAAUGCCUGAUCUGCCAUUAACUUCGCCGAAACCAUAAUUAAUUCAAAAUUCUUUUAGAACCUUCUUCGAGUAUUAUCCAAAGAGAAGUACAAAGACGAAAGCAAGUCCUGCCUAGGAAAAUCUGUCAAACCAUUGCCUUGCAAUGUCGUAAAUCAGCAUCGUAAAUUUAUUACAAACCGUUAUAACCGAAAUAUGUAGCCCAAACGAAUCAUCUAAAUAGUACGCAUCCAUUCAACCACUAUAAAUCCGCAUUUAACGUCUUUCCGUGAUUGUUUUAGGUCAGAAUGCAUAACACAUAGGCACGUAGGUACUUCUAAGGUUGACCAUGGGUGAAGACAACGAGCUUUCUUGGAGUGAAUAUUACGAAACCUUCAAUGGAAAAUUAGAAAUAUGUCUUGUUGACCUGCUUUUUAAUUCAGGUUACGGUCUCAUAGGUGGGACUAUCCUCUCGAGGUAUUAUCUCUGCAAUCGCAGGUGGCCGCAUAUAACCGGUAUCGCCGUUGGCGUUUGUAUCACCUACUUCAAGAGUUGCAGGUUUCUUUUCGACGACGAAUGAAACUACUUUAUUCAUCCUAUAACUAAAGACCCGGUAACAGGUACAACUACUUAUGAUAUAAGCUACCUACUUACCUAAGCAUAUAAAUAAUGCCUGAUGAAGAAAACGACGAUAUAAUUUCAAGAAUUGAUGACUGUAUGACGCACAUGGUUUUCAAAUCAGGUCUUGGUUACUUGGUUGGACAACUACUGGUAAGAUACUACUUAAAGGGCCAACGAUGGCCUCCAAUCGUUGGAAUUGCUGUGGGCGCAAGUCAUGCUUGGAUUCACUGCAGAAUAUUGGACAUAUACCGACCUAGAGCCGCCGCGGCUGAGGCCAAGGCUGAAGUAAGUGAACAAAAAGCGUGUGCUCGCGAGUGCCCAAAGUGAGCGAGUAUGGCUAAAAUUGCAGUCCAAACUAAGAAUUAAAAAUAUUGAUUUUUGGGCAAUUGCUCAUUAUACAAAUGGAUGCAAAUGAUAAAAAGUUCUCAAAGGACGAAAGCUUCUUUCAAAGAUUUGACCUUUGCAUGACAGAUAUUGUUUUCAAAUCAGGAUUCGGGCUAAUCGUCGGCAAUCUGUUAGAAAAAUGCUACUUCAUCGGCCAUCGAUGGCCACCUAUCGUUGGCGUAGCUGUAGGCAUGAGCCACGCUUGGGCUCUUUGCAGAGUAACUACUUUAUACAAACCCAAUGCCCCUUGUGCCAUCGAUGAACCGAUUUAUACAGAUGAGGUACAGGAGGCUAUGCCGGAAGGUUUAUGAAUUUAAAAAAGUGAAAUGAAAAAGACGUGCCGUGAAUAACAAUACCAGUGGGAGUCAAAGUUAAAAUAAAAUAAGAAAACCAUAAUGCUGGAAACUUUCCUACUAUAAGUUGCUCACGUUUGAUGGCAAUGCAAGUGAGGGUGUGUCGCGGCAGGAAUGUGGCCGCAGCGUGCGGCGCUCGCAAGGCACAUUUCUGCCGCACUCUAGCAAGAAAUAAACCGAAGAAAGUUUGGGUGGCAUAUUCGAUACCGAACCAUAUAAAAUUAGUUUUUGGUUUAGGUACAUAAAAGUUUAUUUGUGCUUGUAAUUGAAAACCUAAAGAUAAACGUUCAAUACCUACGCUGAUAAUUCAAAGUCUCAAUUUUUAGCAAACGCAAUAAAUAAUAAAGAUGGAGCAAUCAUCAGUGAGAAUUAAUCUAUUUAUACGUAGAAAAAUACCUAAAAAUGAAUAAAAAUACUAAUUACCAA